GUAACUACUUAGAGUGACCCCUUCCUAAUGCGGAACAAGGUUUUCCUGGAGGCCAUCCUGAUCCUUGAGUCCUUAGCUUUUUGGAGUAUACACUGGACAUAACGCACAAGAUCAUCUUGCUUCUCAAAGAUGGUGUGAAAACCAAUGACCUAAAAUUCAGAAAGGAUUUAAAUUCCCUGAGAAGGUGCUCUUGAGGCACAUCAGAUAUCCUAUUGCUGAAGUGGAUUAUGAUGGCGGUGGUUCUCAACAAUGGAGAAUGUGCCAUCAUGAAGGCGAUUUCAGAAUGGUGGGGGCACCUGUGUGUUUGACAUAGCCCCUCAGAUAAUUCCCAUAUGCCUCCCAAA